AUGUUCAGUUUUCCUGCUGGACCGAAGCAGCCAUGAGUUGGUGGCCAAGGUGUUUGAUGGCGGUGUGGUGGAUGAUGAGAGCUACGAGAUCCGGAUUCCAGCCGAUCAGGGCAUCGCCGGCCACGUGGCCACCACCGGCAAGAUCCUGAACAUCAAAGACGCCUACUCUCACCCGCUCUUCUACCGCGGCGUGGAUGACAGCACUGGCUUUCGCACCAGGAACAUCCUCUGUUUCCCCAUCAAAGACGAGAACCAGGAGGUGAUUGGAGUGGCC